rnacentral:rRNA from 1 species
CGAACGCUGGCGGCGUGCUUACCACAUGCAAGUCGAACGGAAAGGCCCCUUUGGGGGUACUCGAGUGGCGAACGGGUGAGUAACACGUGAGUAACCUGCCCUUGACUUCGGGAUAACUUCAGGAAACUGGGGCUAAUACCGGAUAGGAAUCCUUGCUGCAUGGUGGGGGUUGGAAAGCUUCGGCGGUUUUGGAUGGACUCGCGGCUUAUCAGCUUGUUGGUGGGGUAGUGGCUUACCAAGGCUUUGACGGGUAGCCGGCCUGAGAGGGCGACCGGCCACAUUGGGACUGAGAUACGGCCCAGACUCCUACGGGAGGCAGCAGUGGGGAAUAUUGCACAAUGGGCGGAAGCCUGAUGCAGCAACGCCGCGUGCGGGAUGACGGCCUUCGGGUUGUAAACCGCUUUCAGCAGGGGCGAAGCUUGUGGUGACGGUACCUGCAGAAGAAGCACCGGCUAACUACGUG